UACGUAGGGUCCGAGCGUUGUCCGGAAUUAUUGGGCGUAAAGAGCUCGUAGGCGGUUUGUCGCGUCUGCUGUGAAAUCCCGAGGCUCAACCUCGGGUCUGCAGUGGGUACGGGCAGACUGGAGUGCGGUAGGGGAGAAUGGAAUUCCUGGUGUGGCGGUGGAAUGCGCAGAUAUCAGGAGGAACACCGAUGGCGAAGGCAGUUCUCUGGGCCGUAACUGACGCUGAGGAGCGAAAGCGUGGGGAGCGAACAGG
rnacentral:rRNA from 1 species